rnacentral:rRNA from 1 species
CAGUAGCCGCGGUAAUACAGAGGGUGCAAGCGUUAAUCGGAAUUACUGGGCGUAAAGCGCGCGUAGGUGGUUUGUUAAGUUGAAUGUGAAAUCCCCGGGCUCAACCUGGGAACUGCAUCCAAAACUGGCAAGCUAGAGUAGGGCAGAGGGUGGUGGAAUUUCCUGUGUAGCGGUGAAAUGCGUAGAUAUAGGAAGGAACACCAGUGGCGAAGGCGACCACCUGGGCUCAUACUGACACUGAGGUGCGAAAGCGUGGGGAGCAAACAGGAUUAGAUACCCCCGUAGUCCAUGUCUCUUAUAC